rnacentral:rRNA from 1 species
AUGCUGACACGAAACAAUUAUGCUUCGUGGGCACUGAGGAUGCGAGUGAUCCUGCAAGCACACGGUGUGUGGGAUGCUGUCAUCAAGGACGACGUAGACGAGCACAUGGAUAGACAGGCCAUUGCGGUCAUCUAUCAGGGUAUCCCGGAAGAUGUACUUCUAAUGUUGGCUGAGAAGGACUCGGCCAAGAAGACAUAG